UCCAUAAAUGCUCAGCCUUAUAAACGGU
rnacentral:sRNA from 1 species